CAGACAGAGACCUGAUGCCACUUGCUAAGGUAAAAUCAUUUUUUAAUUUUUUGCAUCAUAAAUGAGGGACAAAGUUACUUAAAGAUAACUAAAUGUAAAUUACGGUCUAGAGGCCUUAUUUUUUUAAUCCGAUCAGUACGCUAGCUAAAUAUUUCCAGCAGCUAAAUACCAGACUUUCCCCUUGUGCCACAAUGAUGACACUUAUUUGCUACUCUUGACAAGAGAAUGAUGAGAGCUCUCAACCACCUGUAUUUCAAACUGAGGCACAACACUGUUGGGAACAGUUUCAUCUAUUGAUGUCUGAACCUGUUUCAUAACUCUCCUCUCUUUUCUCAGGUUUUAAUGGAGGAAGUUGGAAGCCCCAUAGAAGGAAGAUUCUCCGGUAAGAAACAGAAUAACUCCUCUUGGAAAAACAUAUCCAUGGCCCAUUAAUGGGUUUCUCCUUCCUUCAUGGAGCUGAGGGAGUGCAAUGACAAGGAUGGUUAUGGAAGAUGUUUAGAGUUCUGUGUCUGCUUAAUACAUCAGAACAAUUCUAACUCUUGCUAUUACUCAGUUUCUUGGAUUGUCUUCUCCGGUUGAGUAGCUGUCUCUAGAGCAUCUUUUCAUUCAGAGCCACUCCUGCCUUUUGGUAGAUCACACUAACUAAACCAAACUCCUUAUUAGAAAAAUAGCUUAGAACCAGUCUCACCAAAGCCGAUACAGUGAUGACAACAUAGUUCAGCAGAAUGCACAGUGACGAACACAAGCUUUGUCUUUCGCUCCUAUCUGAUGUAUCUGGCUAUCAUGUGAUCCUCCCCGAUACAUAUUAGUAAUGGUAAUGGUGCCUAAUUUUUCCUUUUCUCUUCAUAUAGGCCUGGAAGAUGAAUCCUGAUGAUGAAAGGCUGUGUUAAAUAGAUUGGCUUCGGAUGACCACCUGCCUGAUGUAUGGAGAUAAAAAUUCCAAUUUGAACACAGUUCCAUAAUGUUUGCAGGGAGAGUAAAGCACAGGACACUUCAUACAAAGGCUUCCAGAGGGUGCUUGGGUAUCCUGACUGGGGUGACUUGGAUGUACAGAGUGCUGUUAUUAGCAGUGGUAAGUCAUCAGUCUGCUAGUUUUGCUUUGGUUUUAACUUCGCUAUUGACAUAAUGUAAUAAAUAGUUCGGUUCCCUGCUACAGUCUGGUGUCCAGGUGCUGGCAUCUAAGGGUCUCAUGCAUUAUAGUGGAAAUCAUACUAAAGUUCUUAAUGUAGAAUUCCUGUGAGGUUUCCUGGCUUGUCCUUUUUCCUUUUCUGCCACAAGAUUUCAGGUACUGUUAGCCUGCAGGGCUCACUUAAGGAUAAUCCAAGGUAGUGCUUCACCAGAGACUUAAUGCUUUGUUUUGAGACCUGUGGAUAAACAGCCACAGUGGAUUUUGAAGACUUGUGUUCUAGGGAAUCGUGGAAUGUUGUAGGCUAAUACACAUAGCAGCUGUCUCCUACAGGGUUUAUAAUGAUGUUGACAAAUGUCUGACCUGAAAUCAGUAUGUGGACUACUUCAUUACUGAAAGACCCUGUAAAUGAAGUAAUACAGAAAUGAAGACACACUGUUUUACUUUAUGCAGAAUUGCUUCCUUUUUACUCCUGGAGAGCUGUCAAAAAGAAACUAAUGCUCUCACUUCUGCUUGUUAGGUCCUGGCCCUGUCUUGACUAAAUUUGGGUGAGUAUGUAUUUUUGUUUAGACCAAUAAGUUGUUAACUUGUAGCUAGUAGGAGCAUUGUUGUAACCAGUGAUGAAAUUAGAUUCUGCCAAAUGAAUGUCCGUGAUAUUACUCCUUUCCGUUCCAUUUACUC
ensembl:lncRNA